GCCAAUUAAUUUAACUUGGGAGUCAGAACAUGGGUGAUAAGGUCCGUGUUCGAAAGGGAAACAGCCCAGACCACCAGCUAAGGUCCCAAAAUAUAUGUUAAGUGGAAAAGGAUGUGGCGUUGCCCAGACAACUAGGAUGUUGGCUUAGAAGCAGCCAUCAUUUAAAGAGUGCGUAAUAGCUCACUAGUCGAGUGACACUGCGCCGAAAAUGUACCGGGGCUAAACAUAUUACCGAAGCUGUGGAUUGUCCUUUGGACAAUGGUAGGAGAGCGUUCUAAGGGCGUUGAAGCAUGAUCGUAAGGACAUGUGGAGCGCUUAGAAGUGAGAAUGCCGGUGUGAGUAGCGAAAGACGGGUGAGAAUCCCGUCCACCGAUUGACUAAGGUUUCCAGAGGAAGGCUCGUCCGCUCUGGGUUAGUCGGGUCCUAAGCUGAGGCCGACAGGCGUAGGCGAUGGAUAACAGGUUGAUAUUCCUGUACCACCUAUAAUCGUUUUAAUCGAUGGGGGGACGCAGUAGGAUAGGCGAAGCGUGCGAUUGGAUUGCACGUCUAAGCAGUAAGGCUGAGUAUUAGGCAAAUCCGGUACUCGUUAAGGCUGAGCUGUGAUGGGGAGAAGACAUUGUGUCUUCGAGUCGUU
rnacentral:rRNA from 1 species